AUUGAACGCUGGCGGCAUGCUUUACACAUGCAAGUCGAACGGUAACAGGCCUUCGGGUGCUGACGAGUGGCGAACGGGUGAGUAAUGCAUCGGAACGUACCCAGAGGUGGGGGAUAACGCAGCGAAAGCUGUGCUAAUACCGCAUGUGAUCUGAGGAUGAAAGCGGGGGACCGAGCAGCAAUGUUUGGCCUCGCGCCUUUGGAGCGGCCGAUGUCGGAUUAGCUAGUUGGUGGGGUAAAGGUCUACCAAGGCGACGAUCCGUAGCUGGUCUGAGAGGACGACCAGCCACACUGGGACUGAGACACGGCCCAGACUCCUACGGGAGGCAGCAGUGGGGAAUUUUGGACAAUGGGCGCAAGCCUGAUCCAGCAAUGCCGCGUGCGGGAAGAAGGCCUUCGGGUUGUAAACCGCUUUUGGCAGGAACGAAACGGUGUCCGCUAAUACCGGGCGCUAAUGACGGUACCUGCAGAAUAAGCACCGGCUAACUACGUG
rnacentral:rRNA from 1 species